AUCUGCUCCAUUAGCGUCAAAAGUCUUUAGUACCUUCAAACAAAAUGGUGGUGUUGUCCAAGAGUUUCAAAGACAUCGUAGCCAGGCACAAUUUGCAGAAGCAUUGUAUGGUGAUCUGACAUGGCAGGGAGGAAAACUUAUCUGCCUGUAAGGAUCUUGGAGCUGAUGUUGCCAUCAAUAAUAAGACAGAGAUUCUGUUGCACGAGUGAAGGAAGA